UACGUAGGGGGCAAGCGUUGUCCGGAUUUACUGGGCGUAAAGAGCGUGUAGGCGGCCAAGCAGGUCCGUUGUGAAAACUGGAGGCUUAACCUCCAGACGUCGACGGAAACCGCGUGGCUAGAGUCCGGAAGAGGAGAGUGGAAUUCCUGGUGUAGCGGUGAAAUGCGCAGAUAUCAGGAAGAACACCGAUGGCGAAGGCAGCUCUCUGGGACGGUACUGACGCUGAGACGCGAAAAGCGUGGGGGAGCGAACAGG
rnacentral:rRNA from 1 species